CCUACGGGAGGCAGCAGUGAGGAAUAUUGGUCAAUGGCCGAGAGGCUGAACCAGCCAAGUCGCGUGAGGGAAGACGGCCCUACGGGUUGUAAACCUCUUUUGUCGGGGAGCAAAGCGAACCACGUGUGGUUCAUUGAGAGUACCCGAAGAAAAAGCAUCGGCUAACUCCGUGCCAGCAGCCGCGGUAAUACGGGGGAUGCGAGCGUUAUCCGGAUUUCUUGGGUUUAAAGGGUGCGCAGGCGGAGGUGCACGUCAGCGGUCAAAUUGCGGGGCUCAACCCCGUACUGCCGUUGAAACUGCAUGCCUUGAGUGCGCGAGAGGUAUGCGGAAUGCGUGGUGUAGCGGUGAAAUGCAUAGAUAGCACGCAGAACGCCGAUUGCGAAGGGAGCAGACCGGCGCGCAACUGACGCUCAUGCACGAAAGCGUGGGUAUCGAACAGGAUUAGAUACCCGUGUAGUG
rnacentral:rRNA from 1 species